UUGAGAAGUUGCUUAGAAUUGGCCAUUCUAUAACAUACUAAAAGUUAACUUAAAUGUGAACAACCCCUUUAACUUGAGUGCUGCUUCUUUCAAUUGUUAGGUUAGAGAUACCAUUUUUGCUGUAAGGCUGUAUUAUACCAGGGUGUUUUCAUCUCCAUUGUUUUCUCUGAGACGACUGCUGUGAUUAAAACCCCACAAACCACCAGCCUAUCCUUCCUGUAUGAUGGAAGUGUAUUGUUUGAAUUUUGGCAGGCUGCAUCUACAAGGAAAUUAUUCUUUAAAACCCCUCCUAGGGCUACACUAUACAUUACAGUAGAUCCAAGAGGGUCACAAAGCUCUUGUGUGUGUACUAUGUGUCAUGAACCCAAAUACCCAGAGGUAUAUUUCAUAUUGGAUAAUUCUCUAAAUAAAGCCAGAGACACCCUACCCGUACAACUGAUGAUGGAUAUCUUACAGUUCAUCCUGAACCAGAAGGAAGGAGUUAAAAGUCAGGUGUGAACCCGAGCGUUAGGAUUGGAUGUUACAGAGCUGGGAGGCUGUGGCAAAAAUGGUGGAAUCCAUGAAGAUCGUAUUAAGAAGCAGAAAGGAGAAAAGCUCUUGUUAUCAGAUUCUAUUACAAUCCCAUAUUGGGUUGUGUCGCUACAGCUGUAAAUGAUGGAGCAUGUUUCCUACUAAUGUGUCUUGUUAAGCACAAACAUGUAACCUUUGAUUUCAAGAAAUAAGUCAUUGUACACAAAGGACAUUCUGUAAAGCCUUUAGAAAGCAAAUGCCCAGAUUUCACAUCCGCUGAAAAAACGAAAGUCUAAAAUUUCACAGUAUGUUUAAGGAUAUGCAAAGAAAAGCACAAAGAUUUUUACAGAAACAGUAAAGGGAAAGAAAAGAAAAAAAUGGUUGAGUAGAAAAUUUUCCUUUGAUUAAGCGCUAAUGUGGCCUUGAUUUUGCACACAAGAAAAUAACCAGUUUUUGGUCUUGCCAAGAGACAAAUAUUAGGCACAAACCCUAAUUGCACAAAUUUGUGUAAAUUCUUUUUUACAUAUAUACAUUAUUAUAUAAUAAUCUACACUAUGAAUAUUUCACCAUUUACAAUACUGUUAGUUAACUUGUGCUGUUAAGGAUUUAAAGGGACAGGCAAAUAGCCUUGCUAUGAGCAAUAGUCUGACAUAGGGUUGCCACCUGGCUGAUAUUUUACCGGCUGAUCCCAAUGUUAUUAAUAGGCAAAAAAGAUAAAUAUAUAGGAAGGCCGGUAUUUUUUUCCAGAAAAGGUGGCAACCCUAGUCUGACAGGGCAUUCACAUUAGUGCCCGGCCGCAAUGCUAUCAGCACUAACACGGGCAGGCUGUCAGGGCAACACCCAUAGCAGCAGUUGGUAGCGUCAAGAGAUGUUGCUGCCUAUUAGCACUCUUAUUAACUUGGUUGCACUGUCACACUGGCAUCCAUUAAAACAUUGAUAGGAAGCAACACGGAUGCAAGAGGAGCUUUGAGUAAGUGUUCCUUUUACUGUAGCUUUUACUGGGUGUGCAUGUGCCUGUUUGUUACUACUGCUACUGUCAUGCUGCCUUGAUAGCACACCAGUGUUGGAGCCAACAGCAUUCCCUGCAGACACUAACAUGGGUGUGCUAUAGAUUAUAUAGGAUAAUAUACGCCUAUUAAAAUUUAAAAGACUAUUAGAUUUCAACUAGGGGUAUUGUAGCCUUAAUAAAAGCUCUGGUCUGUUUUA